rnacentral:misc_RNA from 1 species
AACGCACAUUGCGCCCUGUGGUAUUCCGCAGGGCAUGCCUGUUCGAGCGUCAUUACAACCACUCAAGCCUGGCUUGGUAUUGGGGUUUGCGGUUCCGCAGCCCCUAAAAUCAGUGGCGGUGCCGGUGUGGCUCUACGCGUAGUAAUUCUUCUCGCGAUGGAGUUCCCCUGGAGACCUGCCAGAACCCCCCAUUUUUUACAGGUUGACCUCGGAUCAGGUAGGGAUACCCGCUGAACUUAA